rnacentral:rRNA from 1 species
AACGACCAUACCAUGCUGAAUAUACCGGUUCUCGUUAGAUCACCGAAGUUAAGCAUCAUUGGGCGCGGUCAGUACUUGGGUGGGUGACCACCUGGGAACACCGCGUGUCGUU